rnacentral:rRNA from 1 species
UGGGGAAUUUUGGACAAUGGGCGAAAGCCUGAUCCAGCAAUGCCGCGUGUGUGAAGAAGGCCUUCGGGUUGUAAAGCACUUUUGUCCGGAAAGAAAUCCUUGGCUCUAAUACAGUCGGGGGAUGACGGUACCGGAAGAAUAAGCACCGGCUAACUACGUGCCAGCAGCCGCGGUAAUACGUAGGGUGCAAGCGUUAAUCGGAAUUACUGGGCGUAAAGCGUGCGCAGGUGGUUUGCUAAGACCGAUGUGAAAUCCCCGGGCUCAACCUGGGAACUGCAUUGGUGACUGGCAGGCUAGAGUAUGGCAGAGGGGGGUAGAAUUCCACGUGUAGCAGUGAAAUGCGUAGAGAUGUGGAGGGAUACCGAUGGCGAAGGCAGCCCCCUGGGCCAAUACUGACGCUCAUGCACGAAAGCGUGGGGAGCAAACAGGAUUAGAUACCCUGGUAGUCCACGCCCUAAACGAUGUCAACUAGUUGUUGGGGAUUCAUUUCCUUAGUAACGUAGCUAACGCGUGAAGUUGACCGCCUGGGGAGUACGGUCGCAAGAUUAAAACUUAAAGGAAUUGACGGGGUCAUAGCUGUUUCCU